CUACGGGGUGCAGCAGCAAGGAAUAUUGCGCAAUGGGCGAAAGCCUGACGCAGCGACACCGCGUGAAGGAUGAAGGCCUUCGGGUUGUAAACUUCUUUUCUCAAGGAAGAAUAAAAUGACGGUACUUGAGGAAUAAGUCCCGGCUAACUACGUGCCAGCAGCCGCGGUAAUACGUAGGGGGCGAACGUUAUCCGGAUUUACUGGGCGUAAAGAGCGCGUAGGCGGUCUGGCAAGUCGGUUGUAAAAUCUCCUGGCUCAACUAGGAGGGACCAUCCGAUACUUCCAGACUGGAGGUCAGCAGAGGUAAGUGGAAUUCCCGGUGUAGUGGUGAUAUGCGUAGAUAUCGGGAGGAACACCAGUGGCGAAGGCGGCUUACUGGGCUGCACCUGACGCUGAGGCGCGAAAGCGUGGGGAGCGAACAGGAUUAGAUACCCUCGUAGUC
rnacentral:rRNA from 1 species